GGUCGUGGCUCAGUGGUAGAGUGCUCGCCUAGCACAUGUGAGGCCCUGGUUUCGAUCCUCAGCACCA
rnacentral:tRNA from 1 species